rnacentral:rRNA from 1 species
CCUACGGGAGGCAGCAGUAGGGAAUAUUGCUCAAUGGGGGAAACCCUGAACCAGCAACGCCGCGUGGAGGAUGACGGUUUUAGGAUUGUAAACUCCUUUUGUGAGAGAAGUUAAUGACGGUAUCUCACGAAUAAGCACCGGCGAACUCCGUGCCAGCAGCCGCGGUAAUACGGAGGGUGCAAGCGUUAUUCGGAAUCACUGGGCGUAAAGCGUGCGGAGGCGGGUUUGUAAGUCAGAUGUGAAAUCCUGUAGCUUAACUACAGAACUGCAUUGGAAACUAUGAGUCUAGAGUGUGGGAGAGGGAGGUGGAAUUCUUGGGGUAGAGGUAAAAUCCGUAGAUAUCAAGAGGAAUACUCAUUGCGAAGGCGACCUACUGGAACAUUACUGACGCGCAUGCACGAAAGAGUGGGGAGCAAACAGGAGUAGAGACCCUGGUAGUC